GCAGUCAUGUUGUCUCGGUAAUGUUCCCUUAUAGCUCCAGGUUGCAAGCUCAUUAGGGUGGAAGCAGCCUUGGUUGUUUUACUUGUUGACUGAUGUAGAAACUUCAUCACAGACAUACAACACCACUCGGAAACUGGGCAGGGGGUUUGGAUAUGCUCCAGCAACAGCAUCACAUCUUCACUGAUCAUUUUACAUUGUCAAUUGGAUACCAGUUUGCCUUA